rnacentral:rRNA from 1 species
GAUGAACGCUAGCUACAGGCUUAACACAUGCAAGUCGCGGGGCAGCAUGGGGGUUGCUUGCCAUCCCCGAUGGCGACCGGCGCACGGGUGAGUAACGCGUGUCCAACCUGCCCUUCACCACGGGAUAACCCGGCGAAAGUCGGACUAAUACCGUAUGUUGUCCAUUGACGGCAUCCGAUUUGGACGAAAGGCUUGGCGGUGAGGGAUGGGGAUGCGUCCGAUUAGCCAGACGGCGGGGUAACGGCCCACCGUGGCUACGAUCGGUAGGGGUUCUGAGAGGAAGGUCCCCCACACUGGAACUGAGACACGGUCCAGACUCCUACGGGAGGCAGCAGUGAGGAAUAUUGGUCAAUGGGCGUAAGCCUGAACCAGCCAAGUAGCGUGCAGGAUGACGGCCCUAUGGGUUGUAAACUGCUUUUAUGCGGGGAUAAAGUGGCCCACGUGUGGGCUUUUGCAGGUACCGCAUGAAUAAGGACCGGCUAAUCCCGUG